GUAAUUAGCGUUGUGACGUUGGUGCUGACGUUUUGUGUGGCGGGGUUGUCCGUUGUGUUGUGGUGAUCAAGUUGUGUGUUGGUGUUGACGUGCUCGAUGGUAUCCUUGGUGUGCGUUAGGUGUUGACAUACUCGGUGACGUACUUGGUGAAAUAUUUGGUGACGUACCUUCAGAGAUUUGGAGGUUGAAGUCUAGACUCAGGGGGAGUGUACCUCAAGAUUAGGUUAUCAUGAUAAAGUCUUAAC
rnacentral:lncRNA from 1 species